rnacentral:rRNA from 1 species
AGCCUGAUGCAGCGACGCCGCGUGAGGGAUGACGGCCUUCGGGUUGUAAACCUCUUUCAGUAGGGAAGAAGCGAGAGUGACGGUACCUGCAGAAGAAGCGCCGGCUAACUACGUGCCAGCAGCCGCGGUAAUACGUAGGGCGCAAGCGUUGUCCGGAAUUAUUGGGCGUAAAGAGCUCGUAGGCGGUUUGUCGCGUCUGCUGUGAAAGCCCGGGGCUCAACCCCGGGUCUGCAGUGGGUACGGGCAGACUAGAGUGCAGUAGGGGAGACUGGAAUUCCUGGUGUAGCGGUGAAAUGCGCAGAUAUCAGGAGGAACACCGAUGGCGAAGGCAGGUCUCUGGGCUGUUACUGACGCUGAGGAGCGAAAGCAUGGGGAGCGAACAGGAUUAGAUACCCUGGUAGUCCAUGCCGUAAACGUUGGGCACUAGGUGUGGGGGACAUUCCACGUUCUCCGCGCCGUAGCUAACGCAUUAAGUGCCCCGCCUGGG